rnacentral:rRNA from 1 species
CACAGUGUAGCAAUACAUGGGUGGCGACCGGCAAACGGGUGCGGAACACGUACGCAACCUUCCUUCAGGCGGGGAAUAGCCCAGAGAAAUUUGGAUUAAUACCCCAUAAUAUUUUGAGAUGGCAUCAUCUUAUUAUUAAAGCUACGGCACCUGGAGAUGGGCGUGCGGCUGAUUAGGUAGUUGGCGGGGUAAUGGUCCACCAAGCCUACGAUCAGUAGCUGAUGUGAGAGCAUGAUCAGCCACACGGGCACUGAGACACGGGCCCGACUCCUACGGGAGGCAGCAGUAAGGAAUAUUGGUCAAUGGACGCAAGUCUGAACCAGCCAUGCCGCGUGGAGGAUGAAGGUCCUCUGGAUUGUAAACUUCUUUUAUCUGGGACGAAAAAAGGGUUUUCUAACUCGUCUGACGGUACCAGAUGAAUAAGCACCGGCUAACUCCGUGCCAGCAGCCGCGGUAAUACGGAGGGUGCAAGCGUUAUCCGGAUUCACUGGGUUUAAAGGGUGCGUAGGCGGGCAUUUAAGUCAGUGGUGAAAUACCUGAGCUUAACUUGGGAACUGCCAUUGAUACUAUUUGUCUUGAAUGUCGUGGAGGUUAGCGGAAUAUGUCAUGUAGCGGUGAAAUGCUUAGAUAUGACAUAGAACACCUAUUGCGAAGGCAGCUAACUACGCGAAUAUUGACGCUGAGGCACGAAAGCGUGGGGAUCAAACAGGAUUAGAUACCCUGGUAGUCCACGCCCUAAACGAUGAUUACUCGACAUUAGCGAUACACUGUUAGUGUGUGAGCG